GAUCAUUGCUCAGGACGAACGCUGGCGGCGUGCUUAACACAUGCAAGUCGAACGGAAAGGCCCUGCUUUUGUGGGGUGCUCGAGUGGCGAACGGGUGAGUAACACGUGAGUAACCUGCCCUUGACUUUGGGAUAACUUCAGGAAACUGGGGCUAAUACCGGAUAGGAGCUCCUGCUGCAUGGUGGUGGUUGGAAAGUUUCGGCGGUUGGGGAUGGACUCGCGGCUUAUCAGCUUGUUGGUGGGGUAGUGGCUU
rnacentral:rRNA from 1 species